UGCAGUCGACGAUGAUGCCCAGCUUGCUGGGUGGAUUAGUGGCGAACGGGUGAGUAACACGUGAGUAACCUGCCCCUGACUCUGGGAUAAGCGUUGGAAACGACGUCUAAUACUGGAUAUGAUCACUGGCCGCAUGGUCUGGUGGUGGAAAGAUUUUUUGGUUGGGGCUGGAUCCCCUCCCUAUCAGCUUGUUGGUGAGGUAAUGGCUCACCAAGGCGACGACGGGUAGCCGGCCUGAGAGGGUGACCGGCCACACUGGGACUGAGACACGGCCCAGACUCCUACGGGAGGCAGCAGUGGGGAAUAUUGCACAAUGGGCGAAAGCCUGAUGCAGCAACGCCGCGUGAGGGAUGACGGCCUUCGGGUUGUAAACCUCUUUUAGUAGGGAAGAAGCGAAAGUGACGGUACCUGCAGAAAAAGCACCGGCUAACUACGUGCCAGCAGCCGCGGUAAUACGUAGGGUGCAAGCGUUGUCCGGAAUUAUUGGGCGUAAAGAGCUCGUAGGCGGUUUGUCGCGUCUGCUGUG
rnacentral:rRNA from 1 species